GUGCCUAAGGUAUGCAAGUCGAACGAUUCCUGUAUCUUCGGAUACAGGGAGUGGCAAACGGCUGAGUAACGCGUAGGAACCUACCCCAAACUCGAGUAUAGCCCCGCGAAAGCGGGGGUAAUCCUCGAUAGCCCGUGAAGUAUUUUACUUCACGGUAAAGCUUUUGCGGUUUGGGAUGGGCCUGCGUCCUAUCAGGUAGUUGGUGAGGUAAAUGCUCACCAAGCCUAUGACGGGUAGCUGGUCUGAGAGGAUGGUCAGCCAGACUGGGACUGCGACACGGCCCAGACUCCUACGGGAGGCAGCAACUAGGAAUUGUGCGCAAUGGACGAAAGUCUGACGCCGCGACAUCGCGUGGAGGAUGAAGGUCUUCGGAUUGUAAACUCCUUUUCUUACCGAACAAGUUCUGAGUGUAGGUAAGGAAUAAGUGCCUGCUAACCACGUGCCAGAAGCAUCGGUAAUACGUGGGGCACGAGCGUUAUCCGGAUUUACUGGGCGUAAAGAGAAGCGUAGGCGGCUCAAUAAGUUUGGUGUUAAAUCUUCCGGCUCAACCGGAAACAAGCACCGAAAACUAUCGAGAUUGAGUCGAGUAGGGAAGAGGGGAAUUCCUGGUGGAGCGGUUAAAUGCGUAGAUAUCAGGAGGAAUACCAAGGGCGAAGGCACCUCUUUGGACUCGUACUGACGCUGAGGCUCGAAAGCGUGGGUAGCAAAACGGAUUAGAUACCCGUGUAGUCCACGCCGUAAACGAUCCCUGUUAGACGU
rnacentral:rRNA from 1 species